rnacentral:tRNA from 2 species
UCCUCCUUAGCUCAGUUGGUUAGAGCAUCUGACUGUUAAUCAGAGGGUCCCAGGUUCAAGUCCUGGAGGGGGAGCCC